AUGGAAAGGAAGUCAUCAAAACCAUUCAGGCGCGUAUGGUGGGACGAGAUUGUUCCAACUGUUGUCACCAGAGCCGAGCCUCACAACCACGUCAUCUUGCACCCGACGCAGGACCGGGUCCUGACCAUCCGCGAGAAUGCGAGGCUGCAAGGCUUCCCAGACUACUACAGGCUCUUUGGCACUAUAGAGCAGAAAUAUACUCAGGUCGGCAAUGCGGUUGCCGUCCCAGUCGCUCGAUCCCUCGGGCGUGCUUACAAGGGUGAUCGACGGAGACCGGCCCCUGUUCGAACUACCCGAGAGUUUCAGCCUUUUGGAUCAAGCGUCUGCCACAAGAUCGCCCGCAGGAGUAGGAAUUCUCAGCGGCGAAGUAGAAUGAUUGUUUGA
rnacentral:rRNA from 1 species